rnacentral:rRNA from 1 species
CGGUUUCUCUGGGCAUUACCUGACGCUUGAGGAGCGAAAGUGUGGGGAGCGAACAGGAUUAGAUACCCCUGGUAGUCCACACCCGUAAACGUUGGGCGCUAGGUGUGGGACUCCAUUCCACGAGUUCCGUGCCGCAGCUAACGCAUUAAGCGCCCCGCCUGGGGAGUACGGCCGCAAGGCUAAAACUCAAAGGAAUUGACGGGGGCCCGCACAAGCGGCGGAGCAUGCGGAUUAAUUCGAUGCAACGCGAAGAACCUUACCUGGGUUUGACAUAUACCGGAAAGCCAUAGAGAUAUGGCCCCUUUUAGUCGGUAUACAGGUGGUGCAUGGCUGUCGUCAGCUCGUGUCGUGGGAUGUUGGGUUAAGUCCCGCAACGAGCGCAACCCUCGUCUUAUGUUGCCAGCACGUAAUGGUGGGGACUCAUAAGAGACUGCCGGGGUCAACUCGGAGGAAGGUGGGGAUGACGUCAAGUCAUCAUGCCCCUUAUGUCCCAGGGCUUCACGCAUGCUACAAUGGCCGGUACAAAGGGCUGCGAUAUCGUAAGAUGGAGCGAAUCCCAAAAAGCCGGUCUCAGUUCGGAUUGGGGUCUGCAACUGCGACCCCAUGAAGUCGGAGUCGCUAGUAAUC